AGUUGCGAUGGUGCGAGGCUAAGCAUAUCUCUUAAAGCUGCUCUCAGUUGGGAUUGCGGGCUGCAACGCGCCUGCAUGAAGACGGAAUCGCUAGUACUCGCGGAUCCGCACGCCGCGGUGAAUGCGUUCCCGGGCCUUGGACACUACGCCCGUCACACCGCGAGAGUUUGUAACAGCCGAAGUCGGUGAGGUAACCGUUGUGGAGCCAGCCGCCUAGGGUGGGAUGGAUGAUUGGGGUGACGUCGUUACAAGGUAGCCGUAUCGGAAGGUGCGGCUGUAUCUCCUCUUUU
rnacentral:rRNA from 1 species